rnacentral:rRNA from 1 species
ACGGGGGGGGCAAGCGUUGUUCGGAAUUACUGGGCGUAAGGGGCUCGUAGGCGGCCAACUAAGUCAGACGUGAAAUCCCCAGGCUCAACCUGGGAACUGCGUCUGAUACUGGAUGGCUUGAAUUCGGGAGAGGGAUGCAGAAUUCCAGGUGUAGCGGUGAAAUGCGUAGAUAUUGGGAAGAACACCGGUGGCGAAGGCGGCCAUCUGGACUGCAACUGACGCUGAGGCGCGAAAGCGUGGGGAGCAAACAGGA